rnacentral:rRNA from 1 species
GCUGGCCGCGCAAGUCCAUCGGGAAAUCCACCUGCUCAACAGGUGGGCGCCCGGUAGAAACUGCGUGGCUUGGGACCGGAAGGCGCGACGGGUACGUCCGGGGUAGGAGUGAAAUCCCGCAAUCCUGGACGGACCGCCGAUGGCGAAAGCACGUCGCGAGAACGGAUCCGACAGUGAGGGACGAAAGCCAGGGUCUCGAACCGGAUUAGAUACCCGGGUAGUCCUGGCCGUAAACAAUGUCUGCUAGGUGUGGCUCCCACUACGAGUGGGUGCUGUGCCGUAGGGAAGCCGCUAAGCGAGCCGCCUGGGAAGUACGUCCGCAAGGAUGAAACUUAAAGGAAUUGGCGGGGGAGCACCACAACCGGAGGAGCCUGCGGUUUAAUUGGACUCAACGCCGGACAUCUCACCGGUCCCGACAGUAGUAAUGACAGUCAGGUUGACGACCUUACCCGACGCUACUGAGAGGAGGUGCAUGGCCGCCGUCAGCUCGUACCGUGAGGCGUCCUGUUAAGUCAGGCAACGAGCGAGACCCGCACUUCUAGUUGCCAGCAGUACCGCGAGGUAGCUGGGGACAGUAGGGAGACCGCCGUGGCUAACACGGAGGAAGGAACGGGCAACGGUAGGUCAGUAUGCCCCGAAUGUGCUGGGCAACACGCGGGCUACAAUGGUCGAGACAAAGGGUUCCAACUCCGAAAGGAGACGGUAACCUCAGAAACUCGAUCGUAGUUCGGAUUGUGGGCUGCAACUCGCCCACAUGAAGC